UCGGAGAAGAGCGGCGGACGGGUGAGUAGCGCGUGGGUAACCUGCCCUGUACACACGGAUAACAUACCGAAAGGUAUGCUAAUACGGGAUAACAUAAGAAAUUCGCAUGUUUUUCUUAUCAAAGCUCCGGCGGUACAGGAUGGACCCGCGUCUGAUUAGCUAGUUGGUGAGGUAAUGGCUCACCAAGGCGACGAUCAGUAUCCGACCUGAGAGGGUGAUCGGCCACAUUGGAACUGAGACACGGUCCAAACUCCUACGGGAGGCAGCAGUGGGGAAUAUUGCACAAUGGGCGAAAGCCUGAUGCAGCAACGCCGCGUGAGCGAUGAAGGCCUUCGGGUCGUAAAGCUCUGUCCUCAAGGAAGAUAAUGACGGUACUUGAGGAGGAAGCCCCGGCUAACUACGUGCCAGCAGCCGCGGUAAUACGUAGGGGGCUAGCGUUAUCCGGAUUUACUGGGCGUAAAGGGUGCGUAGGCGGUCUUUUAAGUCAGGAGUGAAAGGCUACGGCUCAACCGUAGUAAGCUCUUGAAACUGGAGGACUUGAGUGCAGGAGAGGAGAGUGGAAUUCCUAGUGUAGCGGUGAAGUGCGUAGAUAUUAGGAGGAACACCAGUAGCGAAGGCGGCUCUCUGGACUGUAACUGACGCUGAGGCACGAAAGCGUGGGGAGCAAACAGGAUUAGAUACCCUGGUAGUCCACGCCGUAAACGAUGAGUACUAGCUGUCGGAGGUUACCCCCUUCGGUGGCGCAGCUAACGCAUUAAGUACUCCG
rnacentral:rRNA from 1 species